CUAUUCAGCACAUAUACUAAAACUGGAAUGAUACAAAGAAGAUUAUCAUGGACUCUGAACAAGGAUGACAUGCAAAAUUUGUAAAAUAUUCCAUAGUCUA
ensembl:snRNA U6 U6 spliceosomal RNA